UGGGGAAUAUUGCGCAAUGGCCGAGAGGCUGACGCAGCGACGCCGCGUGCGGGAGGAAGCCCUUCGGGGUGUAAACCGCUGUCAGGGAGGACGAAAGGUGGGGCCUGGAAUACGGGUCUUACUUGACGGUACCUCCAGAGGAAGCGCCGGCUAACUCCGUGCCAGCAGCCGCGGUAAGACGGAGGGCGCGAGCGUUGUCCGGAAUCACUGGGCGUAAAGCGCGCGCAGGCGGAUGAGGAAGUCAGGGGUGAAAGACCGGGGCUCAACUCCGGGGUUGCCUCUGAUACUCCUUGUCUAGGGACCGGUAGAGGCCGGUGGAAUUCCCGGUGUAGCGGUGGAAUGCGUAGAGAUCGGGAAGAACACCAGUGGCGAAGGCGGCCGGCUGGGCCGGGGAUCCCUUUGGGGAUCGAUCCGACGCUGAGGCGCGAAAGCGUGGGGAGCAAACAGGAUUAGAUACC
rnacentral:rRNA from 1 species